UACAGAGGGGGCAAGCGUUGUUCGGAAUCACUGGGCUUAAAGGGUGCGUAGGCUGGCCAUCAAGUCAGGGGUGAAAGCCCCCAGCUCAACCGGGGAAGUGCCUUUGAUACUGCGGGGCUAGAGUGCAGAAGGGGCAACUGGAAUUCUCGGUGUAGCGGUGAAAUGCGUAGAUAUCGAGAGGAACACCUGCGGCGAAGGCGGGUUGCUGGGCUGACACUGACGCUGAAGCGCGAAAGCUAGGGGAGCGAACGGG
rnacentral:rRNA from 1 species